AGGAGUCUACGUAAAAAGUAAAACUUUGGAUGCAGCAAUACGUACUGCAAAGCAAGCAGCUCACAUAGCCCGACAGUUACUCGAAGGAGUCGUAAAACAUGAAAUAUUAGUCCGUUGCACCUUAAGUGGAAAACCAGCUCGAGGAAAAUUAGAUGAUACUGUACUGUCUUUGCAUGGUACUAUCCUGAUGCUCAAGGUUUAACUUAUGCAACAAAAGAUGGGCAGAAACAUGGGUUAAACAUCCAAUCAGACGAAACUAUAAUUAAAGAAGCUAUUCACCAUUAUGAUGUUCACUGCGCUUCAGACAAUCUGCGAGAUCCUAUAAAUAAACGAAAACACACUCUAGUCGGAGAAAUUCUUGAAAAAUUGAAUAAAAAAAGAAAUCUGGAAAACAAAUUUAACAAUCAGACAAUGUGGCCAAAUUAAAGAAAAAAAAAGAAGCUAAGAACAAUCCACGUAGAAUGGUUGUACCGCAAAGCUUUAUCUGAAAGCUACCAUCAAAUGAAGAAACCUUUGGGAGACAAAAAAGGGUUGAAAUUAUAUGAACCGAAUAUAUAUACUGCUGAAGAUAUUAAACAAUUAACGAUCCGAAAAUUCGCGACCCAUUUUCCUUCGUUUCAUCGAUUAGACGUUAACUUGAGAACAUUUGAUGGGGAUUGUAUUCUUUUAUUCAAAACUGAAGAUAAUGAUGAUAAUGAUUUUUGGUUUUAUGUAAAAAGCAGAAAAUAUCAAUUGAGUCGUUUAAAUCUAUACUUGCUAACAAUUGACAGAGACUAAUCCUCUGAACCCAUCACAUUCAAGGAGAUUCUUUUGAAGUAAUUAAUAAAAAUUCUAUACAAAUAUGUUAUGAAUACAUCAUUUUAUCGGAAUAUUCUGCUGAUAUUUCAAUAGCGUAUCUUUCGAAAGAAGCUUUGUAAAAUUCAGUAUUGGGAAAUGUCGGGCUUGAUGAAAUAGAUCCUAUUGAUCAUGAAUAUCGAAUUUUUACAAUUAUUGCUAAUGGGAAGAUUUAUUAGCAAUAUACACGAAUGAAAAUAUGACUAGAACAUUAACUUUUUCUUCAUCAGAAGUAAUUGAGGACGGUGAACAUUAUAUUAUUCAUGAUGUUACUAAAUUGAGUGGAAAAUGUGACGGAGUUUCUGGUUGUGACGUUGUUACUUGCUGCACAGAUGAGUGUUAACCAGUUUUUACCAGGUAUGAAGACGGUAAAAUAAAGAAGCAGGAAAAAUUUUUGUAUUGGCUAUCAAAUACACUAGAUGGUCAUAAAUAUACAUGUGAUUUUUCAUGCAAACAGAAUUCCAUAAAAAAAAGAACAGAAAAUGAAUCUACUAUUCCAGUCACUUCUUUUGCUAAAUGUAAUACGAAUAUUUUAAAACAAAAUUACUUGUGAGUCCCUCAAGUUGAAUGGUCUGAAUUGACUAUUACUGAAACAAUAUUGGGUGUAGGAGCUCAAGGCACUGUCAGGCAAGGCAACUGGUUGAGCACGGACGUUGCUAUAAAAAUAAUGCCUAUAUCAUAAUUAAAUUAUAAAAUCUUUUCGCGAGAAAUUUGUGUGUUACAAUCGGUACGACAAUAUAUCAAGGCGUAGUUA